UACGAAGGGAGCUAGCGUUGCUCGGAAUCACUGGGCGUAAAGGGUGCGUAGGCGGGUCUUUAAGUCAGGGGGGAAAUCCUGGAGCUCAACUCCAGAACUGCCUUUGAUACUGAGGAUCUUGAGUCCGGGAGAGGUGAGUGGAACUGCGAGUGUAGAGGUGAAAUUCGUAGAUAUUCGCAAGAACACCAGUGGCGAAGGCGGCUCACUGGCCCGGUACUGACGCUGAGGCACGAAAGCGUGGGGAGCAAACAGG
rnacentral:rRNA from 1 species